GGGUUCGAUUCCGGAGAGGGAGCCUGAGAAACGGCUACCACAUCCAAGGAAGGCAGCAGGCGCGCAAAUUACCCAAUCCCGACACGGGGAGGUAGUGACAAUAAAUAACAAUACGGGGCUCUUUCGGGUCUCGUAAUUGGAAUGAGUACAAUUUAAAUCCCUUAACGAGGAACAAUUGGAGGGCAAGUCUGGUGCCAGCAGCCGCGGUAAUUCCAGCUCCAAUAGCGUAUAUUAAAGUUGUUGCAGUUAAAAAGCUCGUAGUUGAAUUUCGGGAUUGACACAUCGGUCGUGCCUUAAGGGGUAUGAACUGGUGUAGUCAAUUUCUCACCUUCUGGAGAACCGCGAUGCCCUUAAUUGGGUGUCACGGGGAACCAGGACCUUUACUUUGAAAAAAUUAGAGUGUUUAAAGCGGGCACUUUGCUUGAAUACAUUAGCAUGGAAUAAUAAAAUAGGACGGCAUGAUUCUAUUUUGUUGGUUUCUAGGAUCACCGUAAUGAUUAAUAGGGAUAGUUGGGGGCAUUAGUAUUCAAUUGUCAGAGGUGAAAUUCUUGGAUUUAUUGAAGACUAACUACUGCGAAAGCAUUUGCCAAGGAUGUUUUCAUUAAUCAAGAACGAAAGUUAGGGGAUCGAAGACGAUCAGAUACCGUC
rnacentral:rRNA from 1 species